rnacentral:tRNA from 1 species
GCCGGUGUGGUGAAAUGGUAGACGCGCUAGACUCAAAAUCUUGUGUCCGUGAGGACGUGUCGGUUCGAGUCCGACCACCGGUACCA